CGUAGGGUGCAAGCGUUGUCCGGAAUCACUGGGUGUAAAGGGUCCGCAGGCGGGCAAGCAAGUCGGUGGUGAAAUCUCGUAGCUCAACUACGAAACUGCCAUCGAUACUGCUUGUCUUGAGUUCGAGAGAGGAUGAUGGAAUUCAUGGUGUAGCGGUGUAAUGCGUAGAGAUCAUGAAGAACACCGGUAGCGAAGGCGGUCAUUUGGCUCGAUACUGACGCUCAGGGACGAAAGCGUGGGGAGCAAACAGGA
rnacentral:rRNA from 1 species